GCGGCUCCUGAUUGUCCAAACGCAAUUCUCGAGUCUCUGGCUCCGGCCGAGAGUUGCGUCUGGACGUCCCGAGCCGC
rfam:Rattus norvegicus chromosome 20, whole genome shotgun sequence.